rnacentral:rRNA from 1 species
AGUGAACGCUGGCGGUAGGCCUAACACAUGCAAGUCGAACGGCAGCACAGUAAGAGCUUGCUCUUACGGGUGGCGAGUGGCGGACGGGUGAGGAAUACAUCGGAAUCUACUUUUUCGUGGGGGAUAACGUAGGGAAACUUACGCUAAUACCGCAUACGACCUACGGGUGAAAGCAGGGGAUCUUCGGACCUUGCGCGAUUGAAUGAGCCGAUGUCGGAUUAGCUAGUUGGCGGGGUAAAGGCCCACCAAGGCGACGAUCCGUAGCUGGUCUGAGAGGAUGACCAGCCACACUGGAACUGAGACACGGUCCAGACUCCUACGGGAGGCAGCAGUGGGGAAUAUUGGACAAUGGGCGCAAGCCUGAUCCAGCCAUACCGCGUGGGUGAAGAAGGCCUUCGGGCUGUAAAGCCCUUUUGUUGGGAAAGAAAAGCAGCAGGUUAAUACCCCGCUGUUCUGACGGUACCCAAAGAAUAAGCACCGGCUAACUUCGUG